rnacentral:rRNA from 1 species
CAGCCGCCGCGGUAAUACGAAGGGUGCAAGCGUUACUCGGAAUUACUGGGCGUAAAGCGUGCGUAGGCGGUGAGUUAAGUCUGCUGUGAAAUCCCCGGGCUCAACCUGGGAAUGGCAGUGGAUACUGGCUCGCUAGAGUGUGUCAGAGGAUGGUGGAAUUCCCGGUGUAGCGGUGAAAUGCGUAGAGAUCGGGAGGAACAUCAGUGGCGAAGGCGGCCAUCUGGGACAACACUGACGCUGAGGCACGAAAGCGUGGGGAGCAAACAGGAUUAGAUACCCCCGUAGUCCCUGUCUCUUAUAC